UUAAGAUAUUUUUUUACAAAUGGCCAACUUUGGUUACGCGACGUUGUCACAUCAAUCGGGUUUCAAAGGUUUUCCGGUUUUUUGUUUGUUACCUGUUAUACCUGUAUAUAUUGAUGAAAUUCCUGUUGUCAAUUUUUUUCUGUUAAAUACAAAUAAGGAAUUAAUGUAGAAACGCCUAAGGAUGCUUCGGUGUUACGUGUUCUCUACUCUUAUUUAUGGCUUGGAAGCGUGGACAUUAAAACAAGUCGAUCUGAAUGAGUUGACCGCAUUUGAAUUUUGAUGUUACAGAAGAAUCCUACGAAUCAUGGAUUCAAAGAAUGUCAAACAUGGAAGUAACUAGAAGGAUAGGAAAUAAACCGGAAAUAGUAUUAACUAUCAAAAGACGAAAACUUGAGUACUUAGGACAUGUGAUGAGAGGGCAAAAAUACUCAUUACAACUUAUUAUGCAAGGCAAAAUCCGAGGAAAGCGAAAUGUGGGAAGACGAAUAACAUCCUAGCUUAAGAACUUACGGGAAUUGUUCGAAUGUAGUAGUGCAGUGCUCUUUAGAGCGGCAGUCAACAAGGUCCGCAUUGCCGUGAUGAUUUCCAACCUUCGAUAGAAGAUGGAACUUAAAGAAGCAGAAGAAUGUAGAAAGCGAAAUUUCUUCUCCAAUUUUUGAUUGAAAUUUGACUGGUUAACAUAUAAGUCCCGUCAGUGAAAACAAUAAAUUUAUUUUUUCCCUAGCUUUUUAAAGUUCUUGAGAAACUGCUGUAUGUCUAUUGUCGUGUUUCUCAAUCAAUAUUUUUUUUUAUUAAGUAAACCGCGUCAACCAUGAAAGGUUAUUGGCGGGGAAGAGUUGUACAUAAUAUCAGAUGUUUGCUUAUAACAACUAAUUACAAUUGAGCACUUAAGAUUAUUUUUAUAUUAGAUUGUACAAUUUAGUUAGUUUUACAAACUUAGUCACUUUAUCACAUUUACUAUAGUUCAGAGCACUUUUCAGAUCACUUGGUAAAUCACUUUGAAGUCGUUCCAGGUGAUAGAGUGGGCAACUAACAAUAAUGUGUUCGAUUGUCAGAGGAAUAUCUCAAACAUAGCACAGUUUUUGUUGUUCUUUCUUCAUUAGGUACUGGUGGGUUAACCUGGUAUGUCCUAUUCUCAAGCGGUGUUGUAUGACUUGAUCUCGUCGUUUUUGUGGCAUUAUCCCUUUUGGUGACAAAUUUGGGUUGAUGCGUUGUAGUUUGUUGUCAUCAAGUUUUUUCCAUCUUUUUUUUAUUUAUAGUUGGAAGGAGUAUUUUCCUGUGAUGCGUCAGUAUCUUCAGAGGUGUCAUCCUGAAUACUAUAAUCUUGGUUUAUUUUACUAAGUAGUUUUUUCUUGAUUCUUGUAAUUCUAGAUUUAAUUGCUCUUUCGUUCAACAUGGGAUAUAUUUCAGUUAGCAUAUGUCCCAACCCGUGUAUAUUUUGCGUGUAUUCUAGGGCCAGUUCUACUGGGGUGGAAGAACCGUGAACGUCUUCUAAGAAUGCUAGUAAUUGGGUGUAAUUUAGUACAUAUGGUGGUGAUGCAUCCUGGAUAAAUUGUUUGACUGGUUGUAAUAAUGACUCACUCAUUCUGAAGUGGAUUUGUCUAAUUUGAUAAUUUUUUUCUUCUUUUUAAUUUGCACUGGUUUUGGUUUCGUGAAUUCUGUUGGUAUAGUUUCUGUAGGAGUGGAGCAAGUAGGGGAUGAAACUUCCGAGUGAGAUCGUUUAUUUUUAUUAUCGGUAUCAGUGCUGACUUGAGCAUCCAUUUCUUCUCGAGAUUCGUCAUUUACAUGUGUAAUUUGAUUUUGUUCGGGGCUAGUAGAUGGUAUUUGUGGAAGAAAAUUUUCCUCCGUUUGGGGCUUUUGAGUAUUUUGUGGAUAAGAGGGAUUUAAGGUACAGUACGAGGAAACGUGACCAGUUUGGUGGCAUUUGUAACAAGUUAGUUUAUUGGAAAGAAAAAUUCGGUACGAAAUAUUUUCAAAAUCAAUUAGGACGGAGUCGGGUACAGUAAAAUUGCCUGUAGGUGCAAAGUAAACUUGUCUUCGAAAACUAAGUACAUGGCUGUAUUGCGGGUCUUGUAUUCCAGCUCUAAGGAACGAAAUCGGAGACAUUAAUUUAAAACCAAGAUUGAUUAAAGACUGUUCGAUUAUGUUAUGGGGUAUAGAUGGACAUACUUGGGAUAGAACUAAUCUAUUAGCGGGUGUAAUUAGUUUACGUGCUUUGAUUAUAUGUUCUCUAAUUUUAAUUCCACCAUGUUGACUUAGAAAAUUGUCUACAACUUGUAUGCUUGAAAGGUAGAUGCAUAUUCUUCCGUUUGACAUUUUGGAUGAGAACAGUACAUUUUUUGGAUGGACUAUAGUUCCUACUGCAAUGGUGUACUCUUCUGUUCUUAUUCCGUCUACUGCAGGUAAAAUUAUGGCUUGGUUUUUUGUUGGGAAUUUUGUUAAUGGUUGUUGCUUAGUGAUGGUAGAAUAAGUAAUGUUUUGCUGAUCGGGAUUAAUUGAUGGACCCCUGUAGUCAGAAGUACCACCUGCCAUGUUGUCAAAUUUAAUCUUCUAUCUUUUUUUAAAUUUAAAUUGAACUGUCAUUUCAAUCAUUUUAAUUUGGGUAGGUCCGACUCUGUUUAUUUAAAAGUAAAUAGUCGAUCUAGCCAUUAGCAAGAUAAUGACAAUAGUUGAAACUAGUUUUUAAAUAAUUAAUAAAUACGAAAUAUAAAUAAUGUUCUUCGUAUGUAUAUAAAAACAAUGCUUCUAAUCAAACUACUGCAAAUUUGGAAACUGUACUUACAGCUAUUAACAGAUCACUGUACACUGCUUCUACAUAUUUCGGUUUAUUAUUUAAAUUUACAAUGUUUCUUCUGAAAACUAUAAAAGUUGUGGAGCUCAAAGUAUUUCGACUUUUCUGCAAUCAAUAUUUUUCUAUUUCUAUUUUAUAUUAUUUGACGUUUUUCUCCAGCGAAACCCAAAUCGAUGAAAUUCCUGUCUCACCUUAUAGUUCUUCUACCUAUAUUCUUCUACAAAUUUCCGAUGAAUCUUUUUAACAGUUGGAACUUGUUCAGUAAGAUGAAAAUUGUAUAUCUCCCUGCGUUAUAUACCUUGAUCACAUCGAUUAAUUUUAGUUUUUGAUGAUUUUUCAUGUUGUUUGUUAACUGUUCAAAGCCUUCUCCAUUCUGAAUGUCACUCACUACCUUUGGCGAUAUUUUACACUGGAUAAACUAAUACCUGCAAACAUGUAUCCAUUUUGUUAGAUUCAAUUACUUGACAUGUUAUACAACAAUAAAUCUUUGUAUAUUUUGUUGGUAGUCGAGUUCAAUUGAAGUCCCCUCUCCUUGAUUUUCUACCUGAGUUACAUGCGCGGUUUCAGAUUUUUCUGUACACGUAUAUUAGGAUUUUUUAAUGGUUUGACUAAAACAAUAGUGUCUAAUGUGCACGAGUAGGUAUUUGAGAAAUUAUGUCAGAAGUAUAGUUAUCCAUUGUUGAUAUUCCGGCUACUUUUUACCACUUAGGAUGCGUGGCUUUGGAUGACUAAUUUCAUUUUUUGUUUGCUAUGCUAUAGUCUUACCGAACAUCCACCAUUACAUUUUCAUUUCAGCCAGCUCCAUCUUUUUUCCUGGACCUUCUUUACAGGCCAAACUUCACCGUCGUACACCAACGCAGGCCCCACUAAACUCUUGGAUAUCCGUUUCCGUUAUGUAGGGGCCAAGGUAUUUAAAUUCUUCUAUUCGUCCUAGUUUUCCCCAACUACCCCUAGUGUAACAUUUUUAUUUUCACAUCAAAUUUUUGCUGGUGAUAACUGCUAAUUAAAAUCCAAAUAUCCGUAUGCAAUGGAAGCAUUAGUAAUCUCCGAAGUCAAUAAAAUGUAAUGUUAGUUCCAUCUUUAGACUAGAAAAUAGUUUUUGUGGUUAGACAUUUAUGUAAUCGUACUCUACUAUGUAUAUACAUGUCACACAACUCUGUGCGUUAAGCCGUUUUACUACUAUCAGUUUUAGGCGUUAUUACAUGCCGCCAUGUUUGAUUUGUCUCCACCGUCGUAUUCUAUUCGUUAAAUCCUAUCAUUUAUUUUGACUCAUAGAGGUAUAUAUUAACAUAGAGUGAGCCCUCACUCCGCCACCACUGACGACAAGAUCUCUUCGACUGGUUUGCGGUAUCUCUUUCUAGCACAAUGUAUCGAGAAACAUAACAUGAAACUAAGUGGGGGUACGGGACGGCAAGUGAAAUAAGGAGAAUUACUUUAUUCUUCUUUUUUCUUUAAUUAUUAUGACAAGUGACAAGACAACAUAACCCAAAUAAUUUAAUCCGGCCCUAUUUCUAUUUUUGAACAAAAUGUUGGAAAUAUCUUAGUUUAUUUUUAGUUCUAGCUUAUUUAUGGCUAGAUUGAAAAUCUGAAUUUUCUAAUAUUGGUUCAUGAUUAUCAUCAGGGACUUGAUUCGGUUCUUAAACAGGAUCUCUUUUAGUCCCAAUCACUGCAGCAGUGGAGCUAUGUUUUUAUUUUCACGGUGCUAGUAGAUGGCGAAUAAAUCGUUUAAUUUUCAAUAUUUUUUUAUGAAAAUUGUUUCACAUGUACUUUUUAUAACAAAUGUUCAGUAGUAAUAACCAGAGGACAUUGAUAAUUGUUCGAAAAAUUUUUAUAACAGAUUUCAAAAGCUUGUUCCUUGGAAACAGACCGACGCCAUAGGCGGAGGUCUGUUGCCUGUAAGCAACAAGCUUGAGAAAGUUGUUAAAAAAUUUUUGAGCAUUUAUCAAUGUUCGAGGGUUAUUCGGAUAGAAAAUUUUUUGCUGAUAUAAAAUUAAUAACAAUUUCAUUAAUAUUCUCAUCAGUAUUACAACCAAAUCGUGACAUUUUGAAAUAUUGAAUAUUUGAAAUGUCAAAAUUGAAAUGAAACGAAAUGUAGGUAUCCAUAGCUACAUGAUUGAGUGAAAACAGCCCAUGGGAUCUGUUUUCAGUAUAAUGUUGGUUUUAUUGGUUGUAUUCAAUCAGAUGACCACAAAUUAAUUGAUUUCAUUGGAUUUCUAAUUGAGCAAAAAAUUUUCAAAAUAAUUGGUACAGUACUUUUUAUUUUAGAAAUUCCCAAAAAAGUAUAUGAAUUUCAUACUUUUACACUAGGAUAGCCCUUUAAGAAAGGUAAAUUUCUAGAGCUGCCUAAAGACAGCCAUCAUUAUUCCUCUUCAUAAGGGUGGUGAAAAAUCUAAUGCCUGCAAUUAUAGACCUAUUGCAUUACUACUGGUACUCUCAAAUAGGACUCAUAUUACACAAGUAUAAAAACUUGUUGCUGGUAUGAGCACAUUGUGUAAAUGUUAGGAUUUAAAGAGGAUAUAAAAACCUUCAAUACAAUUAUGAGCGUUAGUCUCUUUAUAUCCUAACAUUUUUUUUGUUAUUGUUUUAGUUUAUUAUUGUUUUUUAUGACUCUGUAAGUUUUGUGUAUAAAUUGUACAAUUUUCCAUGACAAUAAAGCAUUUUUCUAUUCUAA
rnacentral:lncRNA from 1 species